GAAGGCGCUCUGCUGGGCCAUCACUGACGCUCAUGGACGAAAGCCAGGGGAGCGAAAGGGAUUAGAUACCCCUGUAGUCCUGGCCGUAAACGAUGAACACUAGGUGUCGGGGGAAUCGACCCCCUCGGUGUCGUAGCCAACGCGUUAAGUGUUCCGCCUGGGGAGUACGCACGCAAGUGUGAAACUCAAAGGAAUUGACGGGGGCCCGCACAAGCGGUGGAGUAUGUGGUUUAAUUCGAUGCAACGCGAAGAACCUUACCAGGGUUUGACAUCCUGCGAAUCUCUUGGAAACAGGAGAGUGCCUUCGGGAACGCAGUGACAGGUGGUGCAUGGCUGUCGUCAGCUCGUGUCGUGAGAUGUUGGGUUAAGUUCCGCAACGAGCGCAACCCACGUCUUUAGUUGCCAGCAUUUAGUUGGGCACUCUAGAGAGACUGCCGGUGAUAAACCGGAGGAAGGUGUGGAUGACGUCAAGUCAUCAUGCCCCUUACAUCCUGGGCUACACACGUACUACAAUGCUACGGACAAAGGGCAGCAAGUUCGCGAGGACAAGCAAAUCCCAUAAACCGUGGCUCAGUUCAGAUCGUAGGCUGCAACUCGCCUACGUGAAGGCGGAAUCGCUAGUAAUCGCAGGUCAGCAUACUGCGGUGAAUACGUUCCCGGGCCUUGUACACACCGCCCGUCACACCAUGGAAGUUGGCCACGCCCGAAGCCGUUACUCCAACCCUUGUGGAGGAGGACGUCGAAGGUGGGGCUGAUGACUGGGGUGAAGUCGUAACAAGGUAACCGUA
rnacentral:rRNA from 1 species